rnacentral:rRNA from 1 species
UACGAAGGGGGCUAGCGUUGCUCGGAAUCACGUGGGCGUAAAGCGCACGUAGGCGGCUUUCUAAGUCAGGGGUGAAAUCCUGGAGCUCAACUCCAGAACUGCCUUUGAUACUGGGAAGCUCGAGUCCGGAAGAGGUGAGUGGAACUCCGAGUGUAGAGGUGAAAUUCGUAGAUAUUCGGAAGAACACCAGUGGCGAAGGCGGCUCACUGGACUGGUAUUGACGCUGAGGUGCGAAAGCGUGGGGGAGCAAACAGGG